UUUUGUUCAUCAGUGAAUGAAAACGGUUAUUAUCCAGAUAUGAAUUCAGCUUAUGAUCCUGAAUUUAUAUUGUUAAAGCAGUCAAUGAUAUUAUUUCAGAGUUAUAACUGACUUAGCAAAGUCACGUUAUUUAUUUAAGCGAGAUGAAAUUUGAUUUUAUUUUUUUUACUCAGGUAGUAAAUUAUUUCCGACUCAAGAAGUUAAUUAAAUCUGCGGAUUUAAUUUAGAUAUCAGAUCAAUGAACGAAUUAAAUCUACGGAUUUAAUUUAGAUUCAUUUUAUAACUUAUUGUUUUUAGUGAGAUAUCACAUGUCGAAAUACGAGAUUUAUUUAAAUAAACAGUACCAAGCAAAUAUGAGCACGCGAUCCACUUUACAGUUACAGAAUCACCGAGACAGAGAAAAUACAUCAUUUAUCUUAUACUACAUUUUUUUAUUCUUCCUUUUUCUUUCCACUACCUUUGCUCCCCACUUCUUGCCUACCACUAUACUUUGCCAAUCCUCUAUUAAUCAUCACCCCACCAUUUUGUUGUUCCACCUGCAAUUAUCGAAGGAAGACUUCAAUUAUUGCUGCCAAAUCCUUAAGCCAUUCCAGUUCAUAUAACUCAAGCAACAACCAAGCAGUUGAAAACAAGUGAGGUCAAGCACGAGAUUAAUAAUCAGUCAAGGAGCUACUGUACCACAAAAAGUUUCUAACAGUUAUUAUGCAAUCGAAUUCGGGUCCUGAGCAGUUGAUAGCUAUCCUGCCAGGGCUAGUGUACACCAGUGACCGUGAGUCAUCUAGCGGGUUGGCCGGUCAAGUGACCGUGAGAGGUGGCCACCUCUCCGGCACACAGUUCCAGAUAUGAUAGAUUACAAGAGAACUUAGACUGCAGUCGAACUUUAAGAAUCACAACUGAAUUUAGUAAGCUUGGGCCUUUUUAGCGAAAAACCCCUUGCUGUACUGUUUAUGAUGGCAUGACAAUUUAAAUCUUUACGAAGCAUGUUAUAUUUCAUAGUAGGCAUAUGUGCCCACUGAGUACUUUUGUACUCAGCCCUGCAUAUAUUUCUAAAUGUGCAGGUUGAGCAGCUGCCGAUGGUGAUGAAGAGACGAGCAUGACUCUUUUGUCUUAUUAUAUAUUAAUGAACUCUAGGGUUACAUGUCUUCAUACAUGUAAUCAGAACCUUA